rnacentral:rRNA from 1 species
AGAGUUUGAUCCUGGCUCAGAACGAACGCUGGCGGCGUGCCUAACACAUGCAAGUCGUACGAGAAAAUCCGCUUCGGCGGGUGAGUAAAGUGGCGCACGGGUGAGUAACGCGUGGAUAAUCUGCCUUUAAGCGGGGAAUAACUUACCGAAAGGUGGGCUAAUACCCCAUAAAGCUAUGGAGCUCCGGUUUUCAUAGCCAAAGAGAGCCUCUGCAUGCAAGCCCUCACUUAGAGAUGAGUCCGCGUACCAUUAGCUAGUUGGUGGGGUAAUGGCCUACCAAGGCGACGAUGGUUAGCUGGUCUGAGAGGAUGAUCAGCCACACUGGAACUGAGACACGGUCCAGACUCCUACGGGAGGCAGCAGUGAGGAAUAUUGCGCAAUGGGGGCAACCCUGACGCAGCAACGCCGCGUGAGUGAGGAAGGUUUUCGGAUCGUAAAGCUCUGUCGGGUGGGAAGAAAUGUAUGGAGGUUAACAGCCUUUGUACUUGACGGUACCGCCAAAGGAAGCACCGGCUAACUCCGUGCCAGCAGCCGCGGUAAUACGGGGGGUGCUAGCGUUGUUCGGAAUCAUUGGGCGUAAAGAGCGUGUAGGCGGCUAGGCAAGUCAGAUGUGAAAUCCCUGGGCUUAACCCAGGACGUGCAUUUGAAACUGCUUGGCUUGAGUAGGGAAGAGGGAAGUGGAAUUCCUGGUGUAGAGGUGAAAUUCGUAGAUAUCAGGAGGAACACCGGUGGCGAAGGCGACUUCCUGGUCCUAUACUGACGCUGAGACGCGAGAGCGUGGGGAGCAACCAGGAUUAGAUACCCUGGUAGUCCACGCCGUAAA